rnacentral:rRNA from 1 species
UACGUAGGUGGCAAGCGUUGUCCGGAAUUAUUGGGCGUAAAGCGCGCGCAGGCGGUCCUUUAAGUCUGAUGUGAAAGCCCACGGCUCAACCGUGGAGGGUCAUUGGAAACUGGGGGACUUGAGUGCAGAAGAGGAAAGCGGAAUUCCACGUGUAGCGGUGAAAUGCGUAGAGAUGUGGAGGAACACCAGUGGCGAAGGCGGUUACCUGGAGCUUUGCUGACGCUGAUGCGCGAAAGCGUGGGGAGCGAUCCAG